rnacentral:rRNA from 1 species
ACCUGCGGAGGGAUCAUUACAAGAACGCCCGGGCUUCGGCCUGGUUAUUCAUAACCCUUUGUUGUCCGACUCUGUUGCCUCCGGGGCGACCCUGCCUUCGGGCGGGGGCUCCGGGUGGACACUUCAAACUCUUGCGUAACUUUGCAGUCUGAGUAAACUUAAUUAAUAAAUUAAAACUUUUAACAACGGAUCUCUUGGUUCUGGCAUCGAUGAAGAACGCAGCGAAAUGCGAUAAGUAAUGUGAAUUGCAGAAUUCAGUGAAUCAUCGAAUCUUUGAACGCACAUUGCGCCCCCUGGUAUUCCGGGGGGCAUGCCUGUUCGAGCGUCAUUUCACCACUCAAGCCUCGCUUGGUAUUGGGCAACGCGGUCCGCCGCGUGCCUCAAAUCGUCCGGCUGGGUCUUCUGUCCCCUAAGCGUUGUGGAAACUAUUCGCUAAAGGGUGUUCGGGAGGCUACGCCGUAAAACAACCCCAUUUCUAAGGUUGACCUCGGAUCAGGUAGGGAUACCCGCUGAACUUAAGCAUAUCA